CCCUUUUCCCGUGCAUAUGCAUCGGACUCGGAUGACGAUGGUCCCGAUGAAGAAGUUGAUGAAGAGGGGUUCACACCGAAGGAGGCCGCAUUCAAGAAGGUAUUCGGGCGGGAUCACAAGACACCAUUGUUCAAGGAUCUUAGUCUCACGGAUGAAGCCGUUGUGGAUGGUGGCAAAUGCAUAUCUCUUGGAGCUAGGCCAAGUUCUCACCGUGAUUUGGAAGACGACAAGAACGGGAUAUAUCCCGGUUGUGAGUUUCAAUCCUUCUUGGAAUUGAAGAUGUGGCUCGACAACUACUCGGUUACGCAUUAUCGUCCACAUAAAGUGGCCAACUCGGACGUCAAUGUGCGUUACACGGUCAAAUGUGAAGUGCCAAGUUGUCCAUGGAUUGUGCGUGCAAGGCCAUGGAAAGGAGGUCCCACUUGGCGCAUAGUGAGUUGUCUACCAAAUCACAUGUGCCAGCACAAGAAUGCGGAUGGCAAGCUUGUGUACCAACAACACAGACAACUCACGUCCGAGUUCAUCGCUUAUAGGCUUUCCAACCAAAUAUCCACACUUCCAACAAUGAGCAUCAAGAGUGUCAUUGACCUUGUGAAAGCCAUCUUUCAUUACAAGGUGAAGUACGGCAAGGCAUGGAAGGCAAAGCAAGCUGCAUUCAAGAUGUUGUAUGGCAAUUGGGAGGAAGCAUACAACUGA
rnacentral:rRNA from 1 species